UUCAUCUCCUCUGGUUCUUCCGUCCUCUUCUACAUGCAGCAUGGCAGCAGGAAAGAACUCACGAUGCUCCACUCAGCAGUUUCUUCAAAUGUUACCCAUUGGAAACGAAAAGCUAUCCAGUUUUUCUGCAGCAAGCCUGACCGUAAGCUCUAUGGAUUCCAGCUGGCAAUGGUGCCUGGGUGACUUGCAUGAAGGCUAAGGAGCAGAAAAGGAAUCUGAUUUGAAGAUGGCUUCCACAGAAAAAGCUUCAUGCCUAUCGGACAAAGAUCUGAGGUUGCUGUGUUUCACACGCUCCUGAGGUGGAAGCUCUUGGUUGGCUAUGACCUCGCUGAGUUUGAGACCUGGGUUAUGCACAAGUCAACAAAUAGUGAAAGUUACCACUUGAUUCUGCUGGUGAUGGACUUUUAUUUUAAUGGUUUAUGCACGAGUCAACAAAUAGUGAAAGUUACCACAUGAUUCUGCUGGUGAUGGACUUUUAUUUGAAUGGUUUAUGCACGAGUCAACAAAUAGUGAAAGUUACCACAUGAUUCUGCUGAUGAUUGAAAGCUGGUGAUGGACUUUUAUUUGAAUGGUUUAUGCACGAGUCAACAAAUGGUGAAAGUUACCACAUGAUUCUGCUGGUGAUGGACUUUUAUUUGAAUGGUUCCUUUUUGUCUUCACUGGCCAGAAAACAGCUGCCCUCAAGCAAGAUGAAUAUACCUGAAUGAUGAAACUACAACUUUUUGUUUAAUGAAGGACAAUAUAAUGGUGUCUGGUAACUGUUUUGACAAAUAAACUCUAUAAAAUAA